rnacentral:misc_RNA from 1 species
GAUGAAGAACGCAGCGAAGUGCGAUAAGUAGUGUGAAUUGCAGAAUUCAGUGAAUCAUCGAAUCUUUGAACGCACAUUGCGCCCGCCAGUAUUCUGGCGGGCAUGCCUGUUCGAGCGUCAUUUCAACCAUCAAGCCCUGCUUGCGUUGGGGUCCUGCGGCUGCCCGCAGGCCCUGAAAACCAGUGGCGGGCUCGCUAGUCACACCGAGCGCAGUAAUACAUCUCGCUUUGGGCGUGCGGCGGGUUCUUGCCGUUAAACACCCCCUUUUUACCAAGGUUGACCUCGGAUCAGGUAGGAAUACCCGCUGAACUUAAGCAUAUCAAUAAGCGGAGGA